GACGAACGCUGGCGGCGUGCUUAACACAUGCAAGUCGUACGGUAAGGCCCUUUCGGGGGUACACGAGUGGCGAACGGGUGAGUAACACGUGAGUAACCUGCCCACAACUUUGGGAUAACGCUAGGAAACUGGUGCUAAUACUGGAUAUGUGCUCCUGCUGCAUGGUGGGGGUUGGAAAGCUCCGGCGGUUGUGGAUGGACUCGCGGCCUAUCAGCUUGUUGGUGGGGUAGUGGCCUACCAAGGCGGCGACGGGUAGCCGGCCUGAGAGGGUGACCGGCCACAUUGGGACUGAGAUACGGCCGAGACUCCUACGGGAGGCAGCAGUGGGGAAUAUUGCACAAUGGGCGCAAGCCUGAUGCAGCAACGCCGCGUGCGGGAUGACGGCCUUCGGGUUGUAAACCGCUUUCAGCAGGGACGAAGCUUUUUGUGACGGUACCUGCAGAAGAAGCACCGGCUAACUACGUG
rnacentral:rRNA from 1 species